rnacentral:lncRNA from 1 species
CCCUCUUGCCUGGAGCAUUAACACAACGUGGCUGCAAAGUUAGUCCUUUCCCGCUACCAUCUCCUGAAUACUGGGACUAACUACACGUAUGCACGAACCUGCCCAUCUUUGCCUCUGUUAACAGCUGCCACUGUCUCUUCACGACAUGAUGGCUGACCUAGGAUUCUGAGGAGUUAAUGUUUCCAUGAAUAUCUCAGAAGGAGAUGUGGACAAACGAACAGUUAUCUCACUCCUGUAGCUGGCUGAGCUUUUUAAAGAUGGCUAUUCUGAAUUCUUCACAGAUGGCACAGUGUCAGAAUCGUGUGUGGCCUCCUGCUGCCUGAACCAUGCCGCUAAGACAGUUGCCCACUGUGCAGCUUCACACCAUCUGCAGAGAGCAACACUGCAGAGCCUUUGGGAGAGCCUUGCCAGUCGCUGAAAGCCUGGCUGACUGCCAAGCCUUGCACUGUAGACUGAAAAUUGCUCUCUUUGCUGAGCUCAGUACUAACACUUAGAUCUUCAUGGUCUCCUGGGAGACCAUGUCAGCUGCUGUUCAGUGAGAUAAAUUUGGAUCAGCUGAAGAUA